rnacentral:rRNA from 1 species
AGAGUUUGAUCAUGGCUCAGAACGAACGCUGGCGGCGUGCCUAACACAUGCAAGUCGAGCGCGAACGACCCCUUCGGGGGACUAGUAGAGCGGCGGACGGGUGAGUAAUACAUGGAUAAUCUCCCUUCGAGCCCGGGAUAACAGUGCGAAAGCGCUGCUAAUACCGGAUAAGACCACGAGGCGGAAGGCCUUGCGGGAAAAGGUGGCGUUAUUUUCGGAUAAGCUAUCACUUGAUGAUGAGUCCAUGGCCUAUCAGCUUGUUGGCGAGGUAACGGCUCACCAAGGCGAUGACGGGUAGCUGGUCUGAGAGGACGACCAGCCACACUGGGACUGAGACACGGCCCAGACUCCUACGGGAGGCAGCAGUGGGGAAUAUUGGGCAAUGGGCGAAAGCCUGACCCAGCGACGCCGUGUGGGUGAUGAAGGCCUUCGGGUUGUAAAGCCCUGUUGGGUGGAAAGAAGGGCUCCUUGGUGAAUAACCUUGGAGUCUUGACGGUACCACCAGAGGAAGCACCGGCUAACUCCGUGCCAGCAGCCGCGGUAAUACGGAGGGUGCAAGCGUUGUUCGGAAUUACUGGGCGUAAAGGGCGCGUAGGUGGUUGUGUAAGUCAGAUGUGAAAUCCCGAGGCUCAACUUCGGAACUGCAUCUGAUACUGCAUGACUCGAGUGCAGCAGAGGGAAACGGAAUUCCUGGUGUAGAGGUGAAAUUCGUAGAUAUCAGGAGGAACACCGGUGGCGAAGGCGGUUUCCUGGGCUGACACUGACACUGAGGCGCGAAAGCGUGAGUAGCAAACAGGAUUAGAUACUCUGCUAGUCUACGCUGUAAACGUGAGUGCUGGUGUGGGAGAUGUAAUGCCUUCUGUGCCGAGCUAACGCGUUAAGCACUCCGCCUGGGGAGUACGGACGCAAGGUUGAAACUCAAGGAAUG